rnacentral:rRNA from 1 species
CUAAAAUGCACAGGUCGUGAGUUCGAUGAGUAGGGCGGGACACGUGACAUCCUGUCUGAAUAUGGGGGGACCAUCCUCCAAGGCUAAAUACUCCUGACUGACCGAUAGUGAACCAGUACCGUGAGGGAAAGGCGAAAAGAACCCCGGCGAGGGGAGUGAAAUAGAACCUGAAACCGUGUACGUACAAGCAGUGGGAGCACCUUCGUGGUGUGACUGCGUACCUUUUGUAUAAUGGGUCAGCGACUUAUAUUUUGUAGCAAGGUUAACCGUAUAGGGGAGCCGUAGGGAAACCGAGUCUUAACUGGGCGAUUAGUUGCAAGGUAUAGACCCGAAACCCGGUGAUCUAGCCAUGGGCAGGUUGAAGGUUGGGUAACACUAACUGGAGGACCGAACCGACUAAUGUUGAAAAAUUAGCGGAUGACUUGUGGCUGGGGGUGAAAGGCCAAUCAAACCGGGAGAUAGCUGGUUCUCCCCGAAAGCUAUUUAGGUAGCGCCUCGUGAACUCAUCUUCGGGGGUAGAGCACUGUUUCGGCUAGGGGGCCAUCCCGGCUUACCAAACCGAUGCAAACUCCGAAUACCGAAGAAUGUUAUCACGGGAGACACACGGCGGGUGCUAACGUCCGUCGUGAAGAGGGAAACAACCCAGACCGCCAGCUAAGGUCCCAAAGUCAUGGUUAAGUGGGAAACGAUGUGGGAAGGCAUAGACAGCCAGGAUGUUGGCUUAGAAGCAGCCAUCAUUUAAAGAAAGCGUAAUAGCUCACUGGUCGAGUCGGCCUGCGCGGAAGAUGUAACGGGGCUAAACCAUGCACCGA